rnacentral:lncRNA from 1 species
UGUUUUGCUUGAUUUUGUAUUUCAAUUUAGGGUUUGGAAGGAUCAAUUCUGUAGUUGCAGGAGCAGCAUACCGGAGACGGCGGAGAGUCGACUUCUAGCUUUCGUUGAUUCCCGAAAUUGUAGCAGAAGUAUUUUGUUUCCAUGUCUCAGAGGUUUAGCUUAUAAUGCUAUUAUUGUUUGAUUUUCGUCGAAAUGUAUUGUUCCAUUUCAUUUAUUUUUUUCCCCGAUCGGUGUUCGUUUUUAGUUAUUUUGCUGGCGAAACAACUUUGAAAAUGUUGAAUACAGCAAUAGGCUAAAUGCAUAAUUGAAGUCACGGACAAUUUUUUUUCAGAUUGAAGUCCACUUAGAGCUAAAUGCAUGUUGAAGUUUCAAAUAGCUGACCCAAAAUUUCUCUGUUGAGAUGUAAUUGUUGUUGUUGUUAUCGGUUUUAAUCAAUUGUUUGUUACUCAUUUUUUCCUUUUCAACGGGGGAUUAAUACUCUGGGUAUAUAAAUUAUAUGAUCGUACUGGUUCAGACUUCAGAGUUAUUACAAAAUCUAAUGUACCUCUACCUCCUUGAAUUGCCUUUAUCUACUCGUAUUAACAUAAAGUAUAUUGUUGAAUUUUCUUUGGCAAUCUGCCUACAACGAUUUUUAACCAUUUAUAUGCAAAGCAGUAGUAUCUUGUUAAUAAGAGCAAGUGCUGAUCUGUCGCUAAUAUAGAUAGAGUGUACAUUCCAUUCAUGAUUUGAAGCUGCACGAUAGUGCUGGUUUCUACUUAGGCAGUGACAUUGUUAUCCUUUACAUUGGCAUUGCUGCUUUGCAAAUUAUAUUGCUAUAGAAAUACAUAUGGCCCAACUAUAUUGCUCUAUGAUUUGCUACAGAGCAUGAACAUCCAUCCGUGCUUGAGCAUUUGCAGUUAUUGGUGCUGGAGUCUUUGGGCUCCGUAGCUUUGCAACCAUUGCUUAUUCUGAUGAGCAUGAAGAAGGUCCAGUUAUCCAUGGCCUCAUGAAGGUAUUCUCAGUUUUUAUGACCAUGUUUCCGUAGUUAUUGUGUGCUACAAUGUGAUAAUGCUUGUUGGUUGUUAACUUCAAUUUUUAUUUAUUGAGAUUCAGUUGAGCUAGUUCUUCAGCAUUAUUUUCCACAGACCAAUUUAUUUGCAUAAAACUAAAUCAGUAAUUAUGCAUACUGCUUAAUCUUUUUCAAUCAAUCCAUAGAAGAAAUAUCAAGCUUUUGUUUUUAAGUUAAAUGGACCUCCGUAAGUGUAAUAGGAUUCGUCAAGGUCACCAAGAGUGUUUAUCUUGCCACUCGAUGUCACUAAUUUCUAUUUUGAUCUUGUUGGAAUGACAUACAUAGAGGAAUUGAGGAAGAAACUAAAGCCAUGGAGGCAGAAAUUGAGGUGGUCGAUGAGCCUAAUGAUGAAGGUUAGAUGUUCACUCGGCCAGAAAACUGAAUGAUCAACUUCCACAGCUUUAUGCUAACAAAGCAGCUGCCGGCUUUGAUAAUGGAUGAUCCUAUCCUCCUGAGUCCUGAUCUAUGUCUUAUGACUACGGUAAUCUUUUAAAAGAAGUCCUUCAAUUUCCCUCUCAGUGAAUGGUUGGACCACAGCAAGUGAGUUUCAGUUUCAGAUGACUGAACAAAUCAAUAAGAAAAGAAUUUGGAUUAAAUUGUAUUAUCAUAUAAGAUGCUCAGACUAGAAUAGCAAUUUAGAAUGGAUAGAGAGUAAAGAAAACUCUGUGCGCUCCUAGCUUAAUUUUUAACAGUGCAUUGAUAAGUAUGUGUGGCAAUGAUUUGUUUAGAUUUAUCUCCUCUCGGAGUGUAUGAUAGAGUUUGGAUUACCUAUAUAUCAAAAAAAUAAAGA